rnacentral:lncRNA from 1 species
UUAGUUACUAGAAUGUUUUUCUCAACUAUGAAUCUGACUUCACUCCCUUUCUUGAAAACCUCCUGUAGUUCCUGUUGUGUACGGGAUAAAGGUAACACUCUUCAUAUGCCAUGGAACUGCAUUCAUUAUAUUGGUAUAAUUUUAUUUGUCUUUUUUCUUCCUAGACUGUGAGCCCCUGGAGUUCAGGGACCAUUUCUUAAUCAUAUUCCAGAACCUAUCACAAUGAAUGACACGAAGAAUAUAUUUGAUAAAAAUCUGAUGAAUGAACCACUCUAAAAUGCAACUCUAAUAAAGAAAAUUACUGCCUAUUCAGUUGGAACUGUUGCUUACCAUGGGGCUGCGCAGGUGGAAAGCAGCCCAGUCUUACUAUGAGGAUGUCCGUUUGCCAUCUGGGAACAAGGAGGAAGAAGCAGAGACCUGGGCAAGACCUCAGAGUCAGGAAUAAAUUAUCUCAAUGGCUACUUACAUGGUCCAGCAUAGCAGAAAAAAAAGCCACACUGAGCAAGCAGUGGUCCUUUCCAUGCUACACAAGCAAGAAAUGCCUAUAAAGACAGACUUGAGUGCAGUCUAAAGAAUCUUUUGCUUUGCCUUAACACUCUACUUCUGGAUAUCCUUGCUCAAAAAGAAGUCUACUCAAGGUGGAAGAAAUUUAAAAGUGGGACAGGGAGGUUCCUGUGGACAGAAACAUCUGCUUCCUGCUUAUCCUGUAUCUCAGCAUCUGAAUGGUCAUGACUGGAACACAGGCAGACUUCAGAAAUAAAUACAUAAAUAUCUCAUACUCCUCGAAUCUUUUAGAAAAAGAGUGUGGGUAACAAUAAACAUAUCUGCUGAGAAAUGAC